GCAAGAGACAUCUCUUCCAGAGAGGAGUCACCCGCAGUCACCAUGCAGCAAUGUCAAUAGCACUAAAGAAAAGUGGAGGUAUUCUCCAUAAGGUUCUGUGAAUCUGCUCACACCGACCUUGGCAAGCACAGCCUGAAGUCAUAUGGGUCCUGUGAGUUGGAAAGGGUAAAUCAAGGAGGGCAAAACCUGGAUUUCAGACUUGUGCUGCUGAAGAGGGGCUGUGCUGGGCUGAGCAGCACCGUGGCUGAGCCAGCAUCCUGCUGCCAGCAGCGGGGGGAAUGGGGUGCCCAGGGAGAGCGAGAGCCUGUCAGCCUGGAGUGGAACUUCUCCAGGGCGCUCCCACAGCCGUGGGGACUUCCUCAGCCAGAGCUCACGCAGUUUUGUUCAGGGACUUUUCCCCUGGGAUUGAUCAACUGCACCUUGAGUGCUGAUAAAUGUUAGCAUCCCCGAUGCCUGGGGCGAUGACCCCGUGCUGGAAGUACCCAGUGGGUGAGGAAGCAGAUCCCGAUCCGUGCUUAUGCUUCCUCAUCUCGCCCCAGGAGAGCCUGUGAACAAGCAUUCCCUAAUAACACAGCUUAUGGUUUUAUUGAUUUUUAUCAUUGUCUCUUUCCCAAGAUAAAGUGACUCAGGUAAAGCAUAUUUUGUACCAAUGGUUAAAGUCUGGGGGUUUGUAAUGUUGGAAUCCAAUGAAAGAAACAGACCAGAAAAAGAACCAUUGUCUCUCUCUGCAACACACUGGAGAAAACUGUUUAUUAGAUAUUUUGUGUAAAUGCUUAAAAUUUUACUAGCCGAAAAAUAAAUCUGAUAAAAAGAAUAUUAAUUAAGCUUUGUUCCUGUUGGUUUUUUUACUUUUUUUUUUUAGGUGGUUUGAAUGAGGAUGAAUUAAAAGCUUUUGAUAAAAACUUGAUGCCAUAUUUCCAGCCAAUAGCAAUAAGACAUAUACCUCCUGAAAUCUUCCAAGCAUUGUCCCCAGAGCAAAUAGCAAACCUGGGCCCUGAGAAUGCCGCCGCCGUCACCAGGUCGCAGCGCAAGCCCCUGGACGCCUGGCAGCUCCGGAGCCUGCAGCAGGCGCGGGAUGGAGCCCAGGGGAGCAGCCCAGGGAUGGAGCAGGGCACGGGCACCGUCGGGGAGCCCCUGCCAACCCCAGCCCCAGGCGGUGCUCCUGGUUUGCGUGGCUUCGGCAUUGUUGUCUGUGCUGUGCUUGCACUGCACCUCCCUUUCUGAAUCCACAACUUAACCUUGAGUGUCCUGUACCUUACAAAGGAGAUGCUAGAGAUAAAGAAUAGUAGAAUCAAGAGGCUCUAGGAUGCCUGAGUGCAAAAUGGUUAAUUGCUUAAAAGCAACACCUUCAUCUGCCAUCAUGAUGUGAAGUAUCCCUUUUCACUACUUUUACCAUUAACAAGUAACACAGGAUCCCUCCAAAUACUUCAGACUAAUUUCAAAACUGGAAAUGGCUUCUCUGUCUCAUGAGAAAAGCACCGAAGGAUGCACUGAGGUGCCAGGGAGGAGCCUAGAUGGUCCAGGGGACAUGGAGUGGUCACUUGGAGCCUGAUGUGUUGUACCCAGUGCUCCGUGCGUUGGUAAUUUGGUCACACUGUUGUAUCCAUCCAUUGGGUUUUCUUCUUACACUGAGUGUAUGUUCCUCGGACAGAGGCUCUUCUCUCUGAGGUAGUAGAAACCGUAGUACAAGUUACUGCUCUUGCAAUAAAAUAGCUUCAUCUCUGGUUGCUGGUUUAAAU
rnacentral:lncRNA from 1 species